GACGGAGGGGGCUAGCGUUGUUCGGAAUUACUGGGCGUAAAGCGCGCGUAGGCGGUUUUUUAAGUUGGGUGUGAAAGCCCGGGGCUUAACCCCGGAAAUGCGCCCAAGACUGGGAGACUGGAGUCCGGGAGAGGUGGGUAGAAUUCCGAGUGUAGAGGUGAAAUUCGUAGAUAUUCGGAGGAAUACCGGUGGCGAAGGCGGCCCACUGGACCGGUACUGACGCUGAGGCGCGAAAGCGUGGGGAGCAAACAGG
rnacentral:rRNA from 1 species